UACGUAGGGUGCGAGCGUUGUCCGGAAUUAUUGGGCGUAAAGAGCUCGUAGGCGGUUUGUCGCGUCGACUGUGAAACCCCGAGGCUUAACCUCGGGCCUGCAGUCGAUACGGGCAGACUAGAGUUCGGUAGGGGAGACUGGAAUUCCUGGUGUAGCGGUGGAAUGCGCAGAUAUCAGGAGGAACACCGGUGGCGAAGGCGGGUCUCUGGGCCGAUACUGACGCUGAGGAGCGAAAGCGUGGGGAGCGAACAGG
rnacentral:rRNA from 1 species